AUUCAAAUAGUUUAAGAAAAAUAUUGAUUUGUGGAGUCAGAGAUAUAGUGUUUAUUUUGAAUA
rnacentral:tRNA from 2 species